rnacentral:rRNA from 1 species
AACGAACGCUGGCGGCAGGCUUAACACAUGCAAGUCGAGCGCCCCGCCAGGGGAGCGGCAGACGGGUGAGUAACGCGUGGGAACGUACCUUUUGGUUCGGAACAACUCCGGGAAACUGGAGCUAAUACCGGAUAAGCCCUAACGGGGAAAGAUAUAUCGCCGAAAGAUCGGCCCGCGUCUGAUUAGCUAGUUGGUGAGGUAACGGCUCACCAAGGCGACGAUCAGUAGCUGGUCUGAGAGGAUGAUCAGCCACACUGGGACUGAGACACGGCCCAGACUCCUACGGGAGGGAGCAGUGGGGAAUAUUGGAAAAUGGGCGCAAGCCUGAUCCAGCCAUGCCGCGUGAGUGAUGAAGGCCUUAGGGUUGUAAAGCUCUUUUGUCCGGGAAGAUAAUGACUGUACCGGAAGAAUAAGCCCCGGCUAACUUCGUG